rnacentral:lncRNA from 1 species
CCUCCAUUUGGGGCAGUCCUGGGUGAUAAUCUCCUAUGAACUGAUGUUGAUGCCACAUUUUUUCAGGUUAGCACUUUCUUUGCCCUCCUCUUAAGCAUACUCUUUGACUGAGCUGGGAGACUAAAACUUGCUUCAGGAGUUUGGAGUUGGAUAUCUGGGUGAUGUGGCUGGCCAACGAAGCUGAUGUCAGAUGAUCAUCACCUCAAUUCUCGUGAUGUUGGCUUGCAAGAGGAUGCUGAUGUUGGUGUGUCUAUCUUCCCAUUGGAUUCAAAGGAUCUUCCACAGGCAGCGUUGAUGGUACUUGUCCAUUGACUUGAGACGUCUCCUGCACACUGUCCACAUCUCAGCUGUAUACAGUAAAGUGGAGAUCAUGACUACUAUUAGCCCCAUAAUUGCAUACUAAUAAUUUUUUUACCACAACGCUAUUCUGUCAGGAGCCGAUGGCAGCAGAUGGUCAUAAUGAUACCCCACUGGAUCCAGGAAGGCUGUACACAGGAAAAAUGCCUUUACACAGUAUCAUACUACAACAGUACAUGAGUACUCCCCAGACUCCCUGCAACACUUACACUACAGAGCUGAAACCCAGGCUCACAGCCUACAGGAAGGAAAGUUGCCAUUCCAAAUAAGUGUCCAGUGUGCCAUUAAGCUGCCUUGUGACAAAGUUUUAAAGGCUCAUUGAAGAACGUGACAUUUCAGAGGGUAGGAUGAUGUUAUAAGCUACUCUGUGCAAUCCUUUAACCAAAGUGAGCUCAGCAGGCUUACUGAGAUAAAGCCAGAUUCAUUCACUAGGGAAACCCUAGCUUCAUUUCCCUAGUGCCAGGAAAUCCCACCCAGAGUGGGACCACAGUGGUACAAGCUGCUCUACAGGGUCCUCUGUGAAGCAACUGCAGCUGGCAAAGGGAGUGGGACUGGUUA